GUCGAGAAUAGUCUACAAUGGACGAAAGUCUGAUAGUGCGACGCCGCGUGAACGAAGAAUCCCUUCGGGGUGUAAAGUUCUUUUAUAUGUGAGCAAUGCUUUUUAUGUGAAUAGCAUGAGAAGAGAGAUAUUAGCAUAUGAAUAAGCAACGGCUAACUCCGUGCUAGCAGCCGCGGUAACACGGGGGUUGCAAGCGUUGUCCGGAAUUACUAGGCGUAAAGGGCAGGUAGGCGGAUCUAUAAGUUUGAUGUUAAAGGCAGCGGCUCACCCGCUGUACGGCGUCGGAUACUGUAGAUCUGGAAUGCGGUUGGGGAAGACAGAAUUCCUGGUGUAGCGGUGGAAUGCGCAGAGAUCAGGAGGAAUACCAAAGGCGAAGGCAGUCUUCUAAGCCGUUAUUGACGCUAAACUGCGAAGGUGUGGGUAUCAAACAGGAUUAGAAACCCCGGUAGUCC
rnacentral:rRNA from 1 species